CCACUUCCCGUCCCCGGGCGGGCGCCGGCGCUCCGGGCGGCUUUCCCCGCGGGCCCGUGCGCGGCUGCCGCGCAGCCCUCGCGGCCGGGCUCCCCGAGCGGUCGCUCCGCGCUGCGCGGCAGCGCCGGGGGCGCGGGCUGGAGACGGUGCCACGUUUCCCCGCGCGGCACCUUCCCGGAGUCCGGGUGCGCCGCCCGCGGCAGGAAGGGCGGCCCGGCGGCGGCCGGGCCGCGGGGAAGGCUUGCGACGCUGCGCGGACGGACCGCAGCGACUCGGAGGGUUGGGACGUCUCUCCUCUCCAUGGACUGUAGCCCACCAGGCUCCCCUGUCCAUGGAAUUCUCCAGGCAAGAAAAUUGGAACAGGUUGCCAUUUUGUACUCCAGCGGGUCUUCCAGCCCCAGGGACUGAACCUGUGUCUCCUGUGUCUCCAGCAUUGGCAGUCAUCCAGAAGACACGGAAGUUUCUGAGGAGUGUUUCAAGAAGGCAAGUGCCAAGACACAAGUCCUUGUCAAGACUCUGCUGACUUCAUGUUCACUGAUGUUUCAUUGACCAAAGCAAGUCAUGUGGUCCCGGAUUCAACACCAGGCGAGCCCAGAGUGGAGAGUGAUUCAUUGGGAACAUUACUUAUCCACGUAAAACACAUGCUAAGAGAUAGGCAGGAAAAGAGAAGCCACUGGAGAAAGACACAUGAAUCACUGUCCGAAAGAAACAGUAAGACAUCAAGGAAGCAGAGUUUCCAGAAGGGAAGGGGCAACAGUGCCAAGUGUCACAGAGAGAACAAGAAUGGAAGGAAUAACAAGUGUUCAUGGACUUGGUCUUUGUUAACCUUUGCAGUUUCAAGAGUUGAGAGUAAAAACUGAAUCAAAGAGGGGAGAGAAAGUGAAUGGGUGUUGAGGAAGUGUAGGCAGAUGGUGCAGACUUCUUUUCUUAGAAAGGUCAGAAACAAAAUGAAGAGAUGGAGUAGCAUCUACAGGAGAACUCCCACUAAAGGGGGAGUAAUAGUUGUUUUUUUUUUUUUUUUUUAAAUGACAGUGAUGUGCAUUACGUUAGAGUAAGAGACAAGAGCCAGGAGGUAGAGGGGAAAUGACAUAGGAGAGUCAGGCCCAUUGAGAGGAAGAAGCAUCCAGCAGAGGGUUGAUGGGAAGAGCAACACCGGGCUUUUUCAAACCAAAGAAAGGCUGGCAGCAAUGGCAGUAUGUUUACAGGCUGGGGUAGAGAGAGAUGUCAGAAAGUUAAGCAAAUGCAUUUAUAAAAGCUUCUUCC
ensembl:lncRNA